UCCGUAGGCGGAUUGAUAAGUCAGAGGUGAAAUCUUUCGGCUCAACCGAGAAACUGCCAGUGAUACUGUUAAUCUUGAGUUCGGUUGAGGUAGGCGGAAUGUGUAAUGUAGCGGUGAAAUGCUUAGAUAUUACACAGAACACCAAUUGCGUAGGCAGCUUACUAGACCGACACUGACGCUGAGGCACGAAAGCGUGGGGAGCGAACAGGAUUAGAUACCCUGGUAGUCC
rnacentral:rRNA from 1 species